rnacentral:rRNA from 1 species
UACGUAGGUGGCAAGCGUUGUCCGGAUUUACUGGGCGUAAAGAGCGCGCAGGCGGUUGGUUAAGUCGAAUGUGAAAGCCCCCGGCUCAACUGGGGAGGGUCAUUCGAUACUGAUCGACUUGAAGGCAGGAGAGGGUAGUGGAAUUCCCGGUGUAGUGGUGAAAUGCGUAGAUAUUGGGAGGAACACCAGUGGCGAAGGCGACUACCUGGCCUGUUCUUGACGCUGAGGCGCGAAAGCUGGGGGAGCAAACGGGG